rnacentral:rRNA from 7 species
UCUUGACCUCGGAUCAGGUAGGGAUACCCGCUGAACUUAAGCAUAUC